UCAGACAGAGGAGCUGUGCCUAUAAAAGACCAGCUUGGUUGUUUGGGAGUCAAAGCUGGGGUCUUGCUGUAGUAGUGGUGGUAGUGGUAGUGGUAGUGGUAGUGGUAGUGGUAGUGGUAGUGGUAGUGGUAGUGGUAGUGGUAGUGGUAGUGGUAGUGGUAGUGGUAGUGGUAGUGGUAGUGGUAGUGGUGGUGGUGGUGGUGGUGGUGGUGGUGGUGGUGGUGGGUGGUGGUGGGGAGAGUGCUGUGUUUGGGACGUUGAUUCAAACCAUUGAUGUUGACUAUGACUCUUGGCGUGACCGUCAGGGUGCUUUGGAUAUGCCUUUUCCUAAGUGAAAUAUGCUGUCAGCACCGUCAACAAGGGCUGGAAGGUCAUCGCCAGAGAUUUGGGAAUUUUUACUACCUUACUAGGCCUGCCGGUAGUGACUCUGUACCGUCCAUGAAUGACGUCAGCUCAACCAAAGGUGAAGGUGUCCCAAAUUAUAAUGAACCUGCUAAGGAAAACCCAUUUUUUAGUAAAGCAGAGGUUCCUCAUGCCCCAACAAGCCAGAGGCUGAUGCCAUCAAGCCAGGUAUGGAUGCCCUCUACCCAGGUGAGCCAAGAUGGCAUGUCUAAAAUCCAGGCAAACCCAGUGUGGACUCGCCAUACCCCUACUCAGGAGAGCCAGGGUCAGCAGUCUGUAAGCCAGGCAGCCAAGAUGGCACAGGCCCAAAUGCCCCCAGCCCCAGUGAGCCAGGCAGCCCAGAUGCCCAAGGUGCACGCCCAUGUGCCCCCAAUAUGGGCCAAGAUGCCCCCAGCCCCAGUGAGCCAGGCAGCCCAGAUGCCCAAGGUGCAGGCCCAUGUGCCCCCAAUAUGGGCCAAGAUGCCCCCAGCCCCAGUGAACCAGAUGCCCAAGGUGCAUGCCCAGAUGCCGCUUCCUCAAAUGACUGCAUCAAACCCUAUUAAGGGUAGUCUUGGCAGCUCCUCCAUGGAUGUCGGUGCAGAAACCACUCGUGGUGAUGCUGAGGGUCCCUCAUCAGGGCAAGAGCGCUUCCUUGUGAUCACAGAGCCAUCAGGUUUUCAAACGCGCUACGUGGUUAAAUCCUUCAAUCGUUACGUGCUUGGAAAAAUGGUCUUUUCCCAAACCACCUACAUCCCACUGGACUUCCUUCCAACUGAUGCUGCUGAUCCGGUUGCUUAUGACCCCAGUUUUCCUGGACAUGAAGCCCAGGCUGACCAAACUGUGGAUGUCAAAGAGUGACUUUGAGAGCGCUUUGUUGUGAAGUCCUGGGCUCAAACCUUGAUGGAUAUCUACGCUUGACUUUAUAUUGUAGAUGAAACAAUAAAGGCUUUUCUCUAAUUUUGUAUGUUUCUGUU
ensembl:lncRNA